GGGGGUGUUCCGGAAUUCGACUGUUGAUUGUAGUUUAUGUCUGCGUGUCGGAGAUGAUACUUGGCUCCGUAAAAAUGUAUCACAAAAAACAAUAAAUGGCGAAGAAUACGCUAUUGCUGCUUAAUUAAGCGCAGCACGUCUGCUCAUCGACUCCCGAUAGAUGAAGUCAGGCGUCGACAUCGGGAACAGGGGUUGAAGUUGUUCUGUCGGGGCUUCCGCCGCCACUCACUGAUAGGUGCCUUGCCAAUGGCUGUCCGAGCCUAAUUGGCGAGAAAGAAUAAUUCGAGACUACACAUGUAGACGGCAUAUCCGAAGGUCAUUAGGACAGGGGUUCAACUCCCCUCACCUCCAAAU
rnacentral:tmRNA from 1 species